UCAUUACUAAGCUAAUGAUAUAGUCAUUGGCCUUUUUACAUAGGAAUGCAGAUAAAGCACCAUUCCAUGGACUAUCGAGUUCCCAGACAUUAUCCUCAAUAUGUGUUGCUCACCACAGCAUGUACCUUAGGACCAAAAGAUAAGUCUAUAAAAUCAUGACUGUCCACUAGCUCAAGGGGAUUCUGGGGCUGACUGGAGUUGUAACUCUCCUUUGGAGGAAGAAAUGAAGACAUCUUGUUCUCAUAAACAAUGAAGGCUCCAUAUUGUACUGUGUAAGACAGAUAAUGGAGAAAAAUGAAUGGAUCUGAAUAAGUCAAGGGGUGGAUUAUAUAGGCCACACAUAUCUCCUCAGAUUCUGUUGCUCUCUCCUACCCCUUUCACUCUGGGUUACUUGUUAUACUUCAUUCACCUUUGGAGCCCUAAUAACUUCAUACGAGCAAUGAGUUUCUUCUGAAGACAUUCAGCCCACACUUGGAAUUUAAUGACUCCUCCUACCACUUCCAAGCAGGAAUGAUGCACCAUAUUUUCAGGCAUGGAGUCUGGUCUCUCCAAAGGCUGCCAAAGCUUCAAGACUGAUGUCAUCUGGAUAACUGGGGGAGUUAACUCUCUGAAAGUGGGAAAUUAGACCAAUGGGAGAUGAGAGAUAGAACACACCAUCAGAAAACUCACAAAAAUAAACACAU